rnacentral:rRNA from 1 species
AGCGAACGCUGGCGGCAGGCCUAACACAUGCAAGUCGAGCGGCCGUAGCAAUACGGCAGCGGCAGACGGGAGAGUAACACGUGGGAACGUACCCUUUGGUUCGGAACAACACAGGGAAACUUGUGCUAAUACCGGAUAAGCCCUUACGGGGAAAGAUUUAUCGCCAAAGGAUCGGCCCGCGUCUGAUUAGCUAGUUGGUGGGGUAACGGCCCACCAAGGCGACGAUCAGUAGCUGGUCUGAGAGGAUGAUCAGCCUCACUGGACUGAGACACGGCCCAGACUCCUACGGGAGGCAGCAGUGGGGAAUCUUGCGCAAUGGGCGAAAGCCUGACGCAGCGACGCCGCGUGGGGGAUGACGGCCU